UACGUAGGGUGCGAGCGUUAAUCGGAAUUACUGGGCGUAAAGCGUGCGCAGGCGGUUUGUUAAGACAGAUGUGAAAUCCCCGGGCUUAACCUGGGAACUGCAUUUGUGACUGGCAAGCUAGAGUAUGGCAGAGGGGGGUAGAAUUCCACGUGUAGCAGUGAAAUGCGUAGAGAUGUGGAGGAAUACCGAUGGCGAAGGCAGCCCCCUGGGCCAAUACUGACGCUCAUGCA
rnacentral:rRNA from 1 species